rnacentral:rRNA from 1 species
AUACGUAGGUGACAAGCGUUAUCCGGAUUUACUGGGUGUAAAGGGCGUGUAGGCGGAGAUGCAAGUCAGGAGUGAAAUCUAGGGGCUCAACCCCUAAACUGCUUUUGAAACUGUAUCCCUUGAGUAUCGGAGAGGCAGGCGGAAUUCCUAGUGUAGCGGUGAAAUGCGUAGAUAUAAGGAAGAACACCAGUGGCGAAGGCGGGCUACUGGACAGUAACUGACGCUGAGGCGCGAAAGCGUGGGGAGCGAACAGGAUUAGAUACCCUGGUAGUCCACGCGGUAAACGAUGAAUGCUAGGUGUUGCGGGUAUCGACCCCUGCAGUGCCGGAGUAAACACAAUAAGCACUCCGCCUGGGGAGUACGUACGCAAGUAUGAAACUCAAAGGAAUUGACGGGG